UGGCACCUUGAUGUCGGCUCAUCACAUCCUGGGGCUGUAGCCGGUCCCAAGGGUUUGGCUGUUCGCCAAUUAAAGUGGUACGUGAGCUGGGUUUAAAACGUCGCGAGACAGUUUGGUCCCUAUCUGCCGUGGGCGUUGGAAAUUUGAAGGGGGCUGCUCCUAGUACGAGAGGACCGGAGUGGACGAACCUCUGGUGUUCCGGUUGUCACGCCAGUGGCAUUGCCGGGUAGCUAUGUUCGGAAGAGAUAACCGCUGAAAGCAUCUAAGCGGGAAACUUGCCUUGAGAUGAGAUUUCCCGGAGCCUUGAGCUCCUUGAAGGGUCGUUCGAGACCAGGACGUUGAUAGGCUGGGUGUGGAAGCGCAGUAAUGCG
rnacentral:rRNA from 1 species